CGCGGCCUAUCAGCUUGUUGGUGGGGUAAUGGCCUACCAAGGCGACGACGGGUAGCCGGCCUGAGAGGGCGACCGGCCACACUGGGACUGAGACACGGCCCAGACUCCUACGGGAGGCAGCAGUGGGGAAUAUUGCACAAUGGGCGAAAGCCUGAUGCAGCGACGCCGCGUGAGGGAUGACGGCCUUCGGGUUGUAAACCUCUUUCAGCAGGGACGAAGCGUAAGUGACGGUACCUGCAGAAGAAGCGCCGGCCGACUACGUGCCAGCAGCCGCGGUAAGACGUAGGGCGCGAGCGUUGUCCGGAUUUAUUGGGCGUAAAGAGCUCGUAGGCGGCUUGUCGCGUCGACUGUGAAAACCCGCAGCUCAACUGCGGGCCUGCAGUCGAUACGGGCAGGCUAGAGUUCGGUAGGGGAGACUGGAAUUCCUGGUGUAGCGGUGGAAUGCGCAGAUAUCAGGAGGAACACCGGUGGCGAAGGCGGGUCUCUGGGCCGAUACUGACGCUGAGGAGCGAAAGCGUGGGGAGCGAAUAGGAUUAGAUACCCUGGUAGUCCACGCUGUAAACGUUGGGCGCUAGGUGUGGGGGACCUCUCCGGUUCUCUGUGCCGCAGCUAACGCAUUAAGCGCCCCGCCUGGGGAGUACGG
rnacentral:rRNA from 1 species